UUAGAAUUGUCUCUUUCUUUUUUCAUUUUUUUUAGAAUUGUUAUGUCCCACAAUUUCUAGGGUUUAUGAAUUAAAAUGUUAAAACAAUGGAAUAUAAUAACAUAACAUUGACUGUAGUUUGCAUCUGACACAAAUUUCUUUAUGUUAGUUACAUAUUGAUGUUAUAUUGACUAAAUUUUCGUAGUUAUGUGAAAUUAUUACCAAAUUGACCCUUACCAUAUGUGUAACUUAUAGGAGAUGGGCUUAUUUAAAGUGUUAUUUUAC
rnacentral:lncRNA from 1 species